AAGGGCCUCAUCGGAGGCAAAAACCGAGGAGGGGCGCGGCGGCGCCGCUGGGUUUCGGCCGUGUUUUCUGACCGUUUGGCUGGGAUUUUGGCUCCGAUUUGGCCACAGGGGAAAUCAGCGUGGAAAAACGAGUCGGGCGUAUGAAAUUUACCUCGAUCGGCGGUCGAAAAUCUCCCUGAUGCGGCGGCAGGUGGCGGCGGCCGGCUCCUCCGGCGUCUAGUUCGUCUUCUCCGGUGAGGGCAGGCGGCUAGGGUUUUUGUGGUCAGGUGUGGAGGUUCUAUUUAUACCCUUUUGCCUUUUGAUCUCAGCCGUUCAUUUUGAUUUAAUCUGGGCCGUCCAUUUUUGAUUGAAUUUGGGCUGUCCAUGCGAUUGCAUCUGGGCCGUC
rnacentral:lncRNA from 1 species